UACAGAGGGUGCGAGCGUUGUCCGGAAUCACUGGGCGUAAAGGGCGCGUAGGUGGCGCAGGAAGUCAACGGUGAAAGUUCGGGGCUCAACCCUGAAUCGGCCGUCGAUACUCCUGGGCUCGAGCACUGUAGAGGCAGAUGGAAUUCCGGGUGUAGCGGUGGAAUGCGUAGAGAUCCGGAAGAACACCGGUGGCGAAGGCGGUCUGCUGGGCAGUUGCUG
rnacentral:rRNA from 1 species